GUUGUCAAGAAGCAAAAUGAGGACCUUGCGCAACAAAAUCAAGUUCUAAACACCAAGUUUGAAGAAACAACACAAUCAUUUAAAAUGAUUGCUUCUUUUUUGGGACAAGUUUUGAAGGAAGUACGCAAAGGGAAUGUUUCAUCGAACCUUUUAGAUGGUGCGGAAUCAGCAAUAAAUAUGAUUACUGAUGAUUCUGGUGGCAAUGGUGACAACCAGGCCGAGAAAUGAGACUUUGACACUAUUGCCAAAUGCAAGAUUAUUGAUGAUUCAAGUGGUAAUAGUAAAUGUAGAUCAAGAGAUGAACAAGUUAUCUUGAAGCUAAGCUAGCAUAACGAUAUGUUUACUUGUUCGUAGUCAGGAAGUUGUUUUUAUUUAGUUUUGGACUAUCUUGUAGAAAAAAUGAUAAUGCUAGUUAGAAAGUUAUUUUUGUUUUAAAAUAUCGCUUUUAUUUCAGUUUGACUAGACUCUGCGAAUUAAUUUA